GAUGAACGCUGGCGGCGUGCCUAAUACAUGCAAGUCGAGCGAACAGAUGAGGAGCUUGCUCCUCUGACGUUAGCGGCGGACGGGUGAGUAACACGUGGAUAACCUACCUAUAAGACUGGGAUAACUUCGGGAAACCGGAGCUAAUACCGGAUAAUAUAUUGAACCGCAUGGUUCAAUAGUGAAAGGCGGUUUUGCUGUCACUUAUAGAUGGAUCCGCGCCGCAUUAGCUAGUUGGUAAGGUAACGGCCUACCAAGGCAACGAUGCGUAGCCGACCUGAGAGGGUGAUCGGCCACACUGGAACUGAGACACGGUCCAGACUCCUACGGGAGGCAGCAGUAGGGAAUCUUCCGCAAUGGGCGAAAGCCUGACGGAGCAACGCCGCGUGAGUGAUGAAGGUCUUCGGAUCGUAAAGCUCUGUUAUUAGGGAAGAACAAAUGUGUAAGUAACUAUGCACGUCUUGACGGUACCUAAUCAGAAAGCCACGGCUAACUACGUG
rnacentral:rRNA from 1 species